CCUGAGUAGAGUGGCGCACGGGUGAGUAACACGUAGAUAAUCUACCUUCAAACCUGGAAUAACUGUUCGAAAGGGCAGCUAAUACCGGAUAAAGUUGAUUCACACAGGUGAGUUAAUGAAAGAUUGCCUCUUCUCGAAAGCAAUUGUUUGGAGAUGAGUCUGCGGACCAUUAGUUUGUUGGUGGGGUAACGGCCUACCAAGACUGCGAUGGUUAGCUGGUCUGAGAGGAUGAUCAGCCACACUGGAACUGACACACGGUCCAGACUCCUACGGGAGGCAGCAGUGAGGAAUUUUGCGCGAUGGGGGUAACCCUGACGCAGCAACGCCGCGUGAGUGACGAAGGCCUUUGGGUCGUAAAGCUCUGUCGACAGGGAAGAAAUUAUAAUCAUCCAAUAGGUGUUUAUAUUGACGGUACCUGUAGAGGAAGCACCGGCUAACUCCGUGCCAGCAGCCGCGGUAACACGGGGGGUGCAAGCGUUAUUCGGAAUUAUUGGGCGUAAAGGGCGCGUAGGCGGUCUUGUCGGUCAGAUGUGAAAGCCCGGGGCUCAACCCUGGAAGUGCAUUUGAAACAGCAAGACUUGAGUACUGGAGAGGAGAGCGGAAUUCCUGGUGUAGAGGUGAAAUUCGUAGAUAUCAGGAGGAACACCGAUGGCGAAGGCAGCUCUCUGGACAGAUACUGACGCUGAGGCGCGAAGGCGUGGGUAGCGAACAGGAUUAGAUACCCUGGUAGUCCACGCAGUAAACGUUGUACACUCGGUGUGCCGGAUAUUAAAAUCUGGUGUGCCUAAGUUAACACA
rnacentral:rRNA from 1 species